rnacentral:snoRNA from 1 species
UCAUGGCGGUGAUGAUAAACACUUUAAGCAAACAUGCCAGUUCUGCCUCUGAAAAUUCAUGACUGAAAAGCCAUCUGAGAUGGGA